CCAACCAGCUAUUCUACAUGGAUAUUGAUUUUACGUGUUGAGCAGGUAAUUUUGUUAAUUUUUUUUUAUCAUUGCGAAAUUAUUUAACCUUAAGUUAGUUUUUGUUCUUAUAUCAGCAAUGUUAUUAUAUCGAAUCGUACAUAUGAAUUUUGUACAGCGUAUGUUUAACUUUUUUUUAUUAUAUUUUAGUUAAUUUUUACAUAAUUAUACUUAUUCGUUUGA